ACUAUUUUGGCAGAUUAGUGCAAUAAAUUUAGAAUUUAUUUAUAUAAUAAUAUGUUAUUAUAAAUAGUA
rnacentral:tRNA from 1 species